ACGAAGGGGGCUAGCGUUGUUCGGAAUCACUGGGCGUAAAGCGUACGUAGGCGGAUCGUUAAGUCAGAGGUGAAAUCCCGGAGCUCAACUUCGGAAUUGCCUUUGAUACUGGCGAUCUUGAGUUCGGGAGAGGUGAGUGGAACUGCUAGUGUAGAGGUGAAAUUCGUAGAUAUUAGCAAGAACACCAGUGGCGAAGGCGGCUCACUGGCCCGAUACUGACGCUGAGGUACGAAAGCGUGGGGAGCAAACAG
rnacentral:rRNA from 1 species